rnacentral:lncRNA from 1 species
AGCACUCCUCCAUGGCCUCUGCUUCAGUUCCUGCCUCCAGGUUCCUGUCCUGCUUGAGUCCCUGCCUUGGAUUCCCUCAAUGAUGAGCUAUGUAAGCCCAGCAAACCCUUUCUUGCUUUUGGUCCUGGAGUUUUACCACAGCAGUAGAAACCUGGCCAGGCUGACACAUCAAGAAGGCACAAGAGACACCAGCUUCCCAGCCUUGUCUUCCCAGCAUCUAGAGACAUGAAAAGGGCUUUUCUGCUAAGUGUAAAUUACCCAGCUUCAAGUAGUCUUUUACAGCAGCUUAAAAUGAGCUAAGAAGCACGGCCACUCAUAGCUGAAUGCUUUAGAAGAAAAACAGAUUCAUCUCUUGCAGUGUGGUGUUUGUGGAGGCUGAGGGUGUGGGGUGCAGGUUUCCGGCCAUGUGGCAGGUCGUGUCCUUGCAUAGAGGGUGGUGUGAUUAUGUGAAAGCUGUCUUUAUAUAUGGCGCGUGGUCAUUGCCCUGGGAGAGCAGUGUCUGCCUGAGUGUCUGGGCUGGAGAAUCCAUCAGGGCUGUGCCAUGAUGCCUGUGGCUGAGAAUGUACGUUUCCGGAAGACAUUUAGCAUUCGAGCUGAUGGACAAAGCAGAGAUCACCCUCAUUAACGUGGGUGGCAGCAUCCACUCUGCAGAGGCCCAAACAGAAUAAAGUGUGAGAGCAAAGUGACUUUCUCUUCAUGAGCUGAGAGACCCAUCUCCUGACCCCAUACACAAGUGCUUCAGAGCCUCAGACUACAAGUCAUGCCAUGAACUUCCCUGGGGCCCAGGCCUUGAGACUCAGCUUUCUUGGAUUUUCUGCUUGCAAAUGACAUUUCCCGAGACUUCACAGAUGAUGUAAUCUAUAAGCCCAUUACCAAAUUGACUCUCCACUGUGUCUCUCCACAGGACCCAGGGGCUGGACAUGGAGACACUGGCUGGAUGUGGAGACAUUACAUCCUUUCAGCUCCUUUCACGCCUGGAGCAGCUGUGGCUACCCUAUGUCUUGUCUCCCAUGUGAUCCUCUUUCAGAUGUCCAUUUUAGAUUUGCCAGAACGAUUCUUCAGAUUCUAUUUUCAUUCAGGGUAUAAGGCUGGUCGGCUAAAACCUGGCCUCUCAAAAGAUAUUCAUGUCCUUAUCUAUGGGGUCUGUGAAUAUCAACGCAUAUGGCAGAGGGAGGGGGGUAGAUUUCUGCAGGAGGGAUUAAAGCAGUGGUCCU